CAACUUUGGAGAAUUCCUAUCCUGUACUUGCCUUGAGAUAGUUGUUUUAACAUAUUUGACCUUUUGUUUCUUCAUCUGUAAAGAAGCAUACUUAUACUAUGUGGGGGUUUUUUGGGAAAGAAAAUGAAAUAAUAUACAUAAAGCACCAAUUACAAUGGGAAAAAAACAGUGUUCAGUAAGUGGAAGUGGAGGUGGUAGAGGUAGUAGUAGUUGUAGUGGUCAUUGUGGUGGCAUUCAUGUUGGUGUGGGAUAGUGAUGGAAUGAUGGAUGGUUGUGGUGAUAGUGAUGUUGGCACUGGGAUUGUGAUGGAGUGAUGGAAGUUGUGGUGACAGUGGUGUUGGUGUUGGGAUUGUGAUGGAGUGAUGGAUGGUGGUGGUGACAGUGGUGUUGGUGUUAUUGGGAUAGUGAUGGAGUGAUGGAUGUUGUGGUGACAGUGGUAUUGGUGUUGGGAUAGUGAUGGAGUGAUGGAUGUUGUGGUGACAGUGGUGUUGGUGUUGGGAUAGUGAUGGAGUGAUGGAUGUUGUGGUGACAGUGGUGUUGGUGUUGGGAUUGUGAUGGAGUGAUGGAUGGUGGUGGUGGCAGUGGUGUUGGUGUUGGGAUAGUGAUGGAGUGAUGGAUGGUUGUGCUGACAGUCGUAUUUGUGUUGGGACUUGUGAUGGAGUGAUGGAUGGUGGUGAUGACACGGGUGUUGGUGUUGG
rnacentral:lncRNA from 1 species